GACUCUCGGCAACGGAUAUCUUGGCUCACGCAUCGAUGAAGAACGUAGCAAAAUGCGAUACUUGGUGUGAAUUGCAGAAUCCCGUGAACCAUCGAGUUUUUGAACGCAAGUUGCGCCCGAAGCCAUUCGGCCGAGGGCACGUCUGCCUGGGCGUCACGC
rnacentral:rRNA from 1 species